rnacentral:rRNA from 1 species
AGGCUGCAACCCGCCUGCGUGAAGUUGGAAUCGCUAGUAAUCGCGGAUCAGCAUGCCGCGGUGAAUACGUUCCCGGGCCUUGUACACACCGCCCGUCACACCAUGAGAGUCGGGAACACCCGAAGUCCGUAGCCUAACCGCAAGGGGGCGCGGCCGAAGGUGGGUUCGAUAAUUGGGGUGAAGUCGUAACAAGGUACC